GAGGAUCAGCACUUUGAAGCUGCAGCACAACAAAAGUCUGUGUUCCAAAGGGUCAUUGCUGAUGCAUCAGUAAUAGAAACUGUAAAACGAUGUCAUGUGUCAAGGAAAUAUCAUGACAGCAUACGGCAAACGAGGACAAAAUGAACCAGCGGCAACAGACACUAGUCAAAGCUCACCGAUAGAAAUAGAUGGACCACCUUUGCUUCUGCAACAAUGAGAGUGCGAGAACUGAGAGGAUGGUCGUCGAUGUUUUCGAAAGUCUGCCUGUUGAUGGAAACUGAAGAGGCUGUAGGCAGCGCAUGGAGACACUGUGGGAGAGGAGGAGGAGGAGGAGGAGGAGGAGUGGCACGACAUUCAGAGGCCCCACAUGAUGGCGCACUGGCGUACAGAUGGACCUUUUUCAUCCCAGGGAAAGCAGCUGCUGAAGCCGGACGCUGGUGAACGUUGGAGCCCCUAUUCAGUUAUUUUUAUGUACUUUCCUUAAUAUGAGGACCAGUGGGUAUUUUUCUGAAGUCAAUC